UGUACUCAUCAAAUGUGACAUUACAUUUUUUGUUAGGUAACAAUGACAAGUAACACAGUAAAAGCUGAUGAAAAUAGAAGUAAGCGUAGAAAGGAGAUGGAGAAUGAAGCUUCAGAAAGUCCUCAGUUGUCCUCCCUGGAAAGACCAGACUUGGCUCUUUCUGAAAGCUUACAGUCACUUUACAAACCUGAAGCACUGGAAAAGGUUUUAAAUGAUAUGAACAAAGAAAUUAAUAACCUGUUGUCAAAAUAUGCCCAUAUUUUAAG